UACGUAGGGUGCAAGCGUUGUCCGGAAUUAUUGGGCGUAAAGAGCUCGUAGGCGGUUUGUCGCGUCUGCUGUGAAAACUGGGGGCUCAACCCCCAGCCUGCAGUGGGUACGGGCAGACUAGAGUUCGGCAGGGGAGACUGGAAUUCCUGGUGUAGCGGUGAAAUGCGCAGAUAUCAGGAGGAACACCGGUGGCGAAGGCGGGUCUCUGGGCCGAUACUGACGCUGAGGAGCGAAAGCGUGGGGAGCGAACAGG
rnacentral:rRNA from 1 species